AGCCCAUUGAAGCUGGGGGGUAUUUUGGCUUUGGAGGAGGCCAAACGCAGCCUUUGUUGUUCUGAAUAAAUGAGUUUAUGAUUCAGUUUAGCCUCAGUCCCGGUGGAAGGAGCCCCUGUGAGAAGUUCCAUCAGAGUGACUGAAUUACAAGCUGAUGGGACUUUGCUGUAAUUUAUUUAAAGUUAUUUACAUGCACAGGAGUACAUUUGUGGAGCCAGGUUCUGUGCUGAUGAAAUUGGAAAGGACACUUACUAACCUAGUGCUGAGGUGACCCAAUUUACGGCUUGUUCUCUGCGCUUUCACACCCCCAGCGUUUGCGAAAGACGGAGCGAAGCCAUGGUAUUUCAUUUACUCUAUGUUAACUCCGCUCCCCUGGGUUGUGAGAGAGUGAAAAUUACUUUGUAAGGGAAGACUUGGCCAACGCAGGAGAAAAUAUCGCCAAAUGCUGAAUCUGAGAAGCAAAGUGGAGACAAGAUAACCUUUGCUUUGUUCAUUGAACAGCGUUCUUACUGGUGGAAGGCUGCAGCGUGUAGCUACUGAAGCCUGAUAUAAAUGCACUCUGUGCUGCCAGCACCAGGAACGCUUUGGCGUGAUGAUGCCAGCCUGCCUGCUCUGCGUGCUACAGGUG